GGCGAAGUGGCCGAGUGGUUAAGGCGCUGUGUUUAGGAAAUUCAGUUUCCAAAACCCGCAGUGGGAAACCUCGCGAGUUCGAAUCUCGUCUUCGUCA